CGGAGGGAUCAUUACCGAGUUUACAACUCCCAAACCCCUGUGAACAUACCAAUUGUUGCCUCGGCGGAUCAGCCCGCUCCCGGUAAAACGGGACGGCCCGCCAGAGGACCCCUAAACUCUGUUUCUAUAUGUAACUUCUGAGUAAAACCAUAAAUAAAUCAAAACUUUCAACAACGGAUCUCUUGGUUCUGGCAUCGAUGAAGAACGCAGCAAAAUGCGAUAAGUAAUGUGAAUUGCAGAAUUCAGUGAAUCAUCGAAUCUUUGAACGCACAUUGCGCCCGCCAGUAUUCUGGCGGGCAUGCCUGUUCGAGCGUCAUUUCAACCCUCAAGCCCCCGGGUUUGGUGUUGGGGAUCGGCGAGCCCUUGCGGCAAGCCGGCCCCGAAAUCUAGUGGCGGUCUCGCUGCAGCUUCCAUUGCGUAGUAGUAAAACCCUCGCAACUGGUACGCGGCGCGGCCAAGCCGUUAAACCCCCAACUUCUGAAUGUUGACCUCGGAUCAGGUAGGAAUACCCGCUGAACUUAAGCAUAUCAAUAAGCGGAGGAAAAGAAACCAACAGGGAUUGCCCUAGUAACGGCGAGUGAAGCGGCAACAGCUCAAAUUUGAAAUCUGGCUCUCGGGCCCGAGUUGUAAUUUGUAGAGGAUACUUUUGAUGCGGUGCCUUCCGAGUUCCCUGGAACGGGACGCCAUAGAGGGUGAGAGCCCCGUCUGGUUGGAUGCCAAAUCUCUGUAAAGUUCCUUCGACGAGUCGAGUAGUUUGGGAAUGCUGCUCUAAAUGGGAGGUA
rnacentral:rRNA from 1 species